GACGAACGCUGGCGGCGUGCUUAACACAUGCAAGUCGAACGGAAAGGCCCUGCUUUUGUGGGGUGCUCGAGUGGCGAACGGGUGAGUAACACGUGAGUAACCUGCCCUUGACUUUGGGAUAACUUCAGGAAACUGGGGCUAUUACCGCAUAGGAGCUCCUGCUGCAUGGUGGGGGUUGGAAAGUUUCGGCGGUUGGGGAUGGACUCGCGGCUUAUCAGCUUGUUGGUGGGGUAGUGGCUUACCAAGGCUUUGACGGGUAGCCGGCCUGAGAGGGUGACCGGCCACAUUGGGACUGAGAUACGGCCCAGACUCCUACGGGAGGCAGCAGUGGGGAAUAUUGCACAAUGGGCGGAAGCCUGAUGCAGCAACGCCGCGUGCGGGAUGACGGCCUUCGGGUUGUAAACCGCUUUCGCCUGUGACGAAGCGUGAGUGACGGUAAUGGGUAAAGAAGCACCGGCUAACUACGUG
rnacentral:rRNA from 1 species